GAUACCUACAAUUACCGUCGUAACUCCACAACAAGCGAAACAUUUAACACACCUUCUACGACGUCGUUUCUUAGACAACUCUGUAUUUGAUGUUGCUGACGUGUAAUUAACGCCUUCUUCGUUUUCGACGUGUAUACGAUGAGAUGAAGGUGCCAAUGGACGAACUUGAUCUCUAGAUGAAUUUGGAGAUUGUGGUGGAGACAUUUUUAGAAACUUUCUAAAUUGUAAGAUUGAAAUUUGAUAAUAUAAUUUUUAUACUAUGAUAUGAAAAUGAUGAAUUUAUAUAUAAGAUAAAGUCCUUGUAUAUGUGUAUAUAUAUAAUGUAUACUUUUAAUUAACCGCGUUAACACGGCUAUGAAUAUUGACUUGGUGUGGGGACAUGUGAUAUAAUUGUGUUGAAUUAUUUUUAUUUUCUUUUUCUAUAAAUUAAUGAAUUUACAAUAUUAUCUACAGUGUCACACGUUCGAAUUCCAAAAAUUGACCCGUCAGAAUUAGAUCAAGAUCGCUCAGUGAUUCACUGUAGUGUCACAUGUACGAAUUCCACAACCCGACUCAUCAGAAUCAGAUCGCCACUAUAGUGUCACACGUUCGAGUUCCACUAACUACAUUGAAACUUUCCUAUCACAAUCCAUAUUGCCCUUAACUUGUUGUCGUUGUAAAUCAAUCACCAUAUUACAAUUCAUCCUUACACCAACGCUUUUUUUAAAUAAACCUAAAUUAACCCUUCCAUUAAUAUUUGUUGACAUACUUAUCGGCAAUUCCAUAGCUAUCAAAUCAUUUGUUAGCCUUGGAAUUCCCACUAAUUUCUCCGUCAUAACCGUAACGCUCACAUCCAUUCGCAAUGUCCUCCGAGCCCUAGCCGACCCUCGCGGUAUCAGGGCUUCCGCUAUGACUCUGUCACUGUAACUGACACCAGCGGUCGCGGCCCUGAACUUGAACGAGACCGAGUUAGGGUUUUUAAUAGAAAUAUCAGCAACGACCGUAAUAUUCAAGUUGGGUUGGAGAUUCGAACUACGAGUAAGGGAACUCAACCCCUCGAACCUAAUCGAGUUCAUUCUUAUCUUAGGAUCUUUCGCCUUGAAAACAGUCAGCGCGAGGAUCAAAAUAACGAUACCUACAAUUACCGUCGUAACUCCACAACAAGCGAAACAUUUAACACACCUUCUACGACGUCGUUUCUUAGACAACUCUGUAUUUGAUGUUGCUGACGUGUAAUUAACGCCUUCUUCGUUUUCGACGUGUAUACGAUGAGAUGAAGGUGCCAAUGGACGAACUUGAUCUCUAGAUGAAUUUGGAGAUUGUGGUGGAGACAUUUUUAGAAACUUUCUAAAUUGUAAGAUUGAAAUUUGAUAAUAUAAUUUUUAUACUAUGAUAUGAAAA
rnacentral:lncRNA from 1 species